rnacentral:rRNA from 1 species
AGUAAUGUCUGGGAAACUGCCUGAUGGAGGGGGAUAACUACUGGAAACGGUAGCUAAUACCGCAUAACGUCGCAAGACCAAAGAGGGGGACCUUCGGGCCUCUUGCCAUCAGAUGUGCCCAGAUGGGAUUAGCUAGUAGGUGGGGUAACGGCUCACCUAGGCGACGAUCCCUAGCUGGUCUGAGAGGAUGACCAGCCACACUGGAACUGAGACACGGUCCAGACUCCUACGGGAGGCAGCAGUGGGGAAUAUUGCACAAUGGGCGCAAGCCUGAUGCAGCCAUGCCGCGUGUAUGAAGAAGGCCUUCGGGUUGUAAAGUACUUUCAGCGGGGAGGAAGGUGUUGUGGUUAAUAACCACAGCAAUUGACGUUACCCGCAGAAGAAGCACCGGCUAACUCCGUGCCAGCAGCCGCGGUAAUACGGAGGGUGCAAGCGUUAAUCGGAAUUACUGGGCGUAAAGCGCACGCAGGCGGUCUGUCAAGUCGGAUGUGAAAUCCCCGGGCUCAACCUGGGAACUGCAUUCGAAACUGGCAGGCUUGAGUCUUGUAGAGGGGGGUAGAAUUCCAGGUGUAGCGGUGAAAUG